GCCUGCAGGAUAGCUCAGUCAGUAGAGCAUGAGACUCUUAAUCUCAGGGACAUGAGUUCGAGCCCCACAUCGGGCA